rnacentral:misc_RNA from 1 species
AAGGAUCAUUAUUAUUUGGGUAGGGUUUACUUUUCGCUUCUUUUUUUUGUCGAUCUCGAUCUCAUCUACUGAAAAAAAAAGUAAACUUUUACCAAAUAAAAGUAUUGAAACUUUUAUUCUGCUCCCUACCCAGUAGGGAGGAGCAAGAUGAACUUUAUUUAAAACCAUUCACUCUUUACAAAAUAUAUUUAAUACACAUUAUAAUUAAAUGAUCACUUUCAACAACGGAUCUCUUGGCUCUC